GAUGAACGCUGGCGGCGUGCCUAAUACAUGCGAGUCGAGCGAACGGACGAGAAGCUUGCUUCUCUGAUGUUAGCGGCGGACGGGUGAGUAACACGUGGAUAACCUGCCUAUAAGACUGGGAUAACUUCGGGAAACCGGAGCUAAUACCGGAUAAUAUUUUGAACCGCAUGGUUCAAAAGUGAAAGACGGUCUUGCUGUCACUUAUAGAUGGAUCUGCGCUGCAUUAGCUAGUUGGUAAGGUAACGGCUUACCAAGGCAACGAUGCAUAGCCGACCUGAGAGGGUGAUCGGCCACACUGGAACUGAGACACGGUCCAGACUCCUACGGGAGGCAGCAGUAGGGAAUCUUCCGCAAUGGGCGAAAGCCUGACGGAGCAACGCCGCGUGAGUGAUGAAGGUCUUCGGAUCGUAAAACUCUGUUAUUAGGGAAGAACAUAUGUGUAAGUAACUGUGCACAUCUUGACGGUACCUAAUCAGAAAGCCACGGCUAACUACGUG
rnacentral:rRNA from 1 species